rnacentral:ncRNA from 3 species
GGAACCUGCACGCGUUGCGGUGCAACGAUGGUCAAAGA